rnacentral:rRNA from 1 species
AGAGUUUGAUCAUGGCUCAGAACGAACGCUGGCGGCGUGCUUAACACAUGCAAGUCGCGUGCGCAGUUCCGUAGCAAUACGGAGCAGGCGCACGGCGCACGGGUGCGUAACACGUGGGCAAUCUGCCCUCUGAUGGGGAAUAACCCCGCGAAAGCGGGGCUAAUACCGCAUAAGAUUCUUUGGACUUCGGUCUGGAGAUUGAAAGCAGUAAUGCGUCGGAGGAGGAGCCCGCGCCCGAUUAGCUAGUUGGUGAGGUAACGGCUCACCAAGGCAAUGAUCGGUAGCUGGUCUGAGAGGAUGAUCAGCCACACUGGAACUGAGACACGGUCCAGACUCCUACGGGAGGCAGCAGUGGGGAAUCUUGCACAAUGGGCGAAAGCCUGAUGCAGCGACGCCGCGUGGGGGAUGAAGCAUUUCGGUGUGUAAACCCCUUUCGACCGGGAAGAAAGCCUCGCAAGAGGACUGACGGUACCGGUAUAAGAAGCCCCGGCUAACUACGUGCCAGCAGCCGCGGUAAGACGUAGGGGGCCAGCGUUGUUCGGAAUUACUGGGUGUAAAGGGUUCGUAGGCGGUGCGGCAAGUUGGGAGUGAAAUCUCUGGGCUUAACCCAGAGGCUGCUUCCAAAACUGCUGUGCUCGAGUGUGAGAGAGGCGCGUGGAAUUGCAGGUGUAGCGGUGAAAUGCGUAGAUAUCUGCAGGAACACCCGUGGCGAAAGCGGCGCGCUGGAUCACUACUGACGCUGAGGAACGAAAGCUAGGGGAGCAAACAGGAUUAGAUACCCNNGUAGUCC